CCUACGGGAGGCAGCAGUGAGGAAUAUUGGUCAAUGGACGAAAGUCUGAACCAGCCAUGCCGCGUGCAGGAAGACGGCUCUAUGAGUUGUAAACUGCUUUUGUACAAGGGUAAACCUGAAUACGUGUAUUCGGCUGAAAGUACUAUACGAAUAAGGCUCGGCUAACUCCGUGCCAGCAGCCGCGGUAAUACGGAGGAUCCGAGCGUUAUCCGGAUUUAUUGGGUUUAAAGGGUGCGUAGGCGGAUGUGUAAGUUAGAGGUGAAAUGUGCGGGCUCAACUCGGGAACUGCCUCUAAUACUGUUGAUCUAGAGAGUAGAUGAGGUAGGCGGAAUGUAUGGUGUAGCGGUGAAAUGCUUAGAGAUCAUACAGAACACCGAUUGCGAAGGCAGCUUACCAAUCUAUAUCUGACGUUGAGGCACGAAAGCGUGGGGAGCAAACAGGAUUAGAUACCCGAGUAGUC
rnacentral:rRNA from 1 species